UCUCUCUCUCUCACUCUGUCUCUCUCACUUUCUCUCAUUUGUCAUUUGGUACAGAAAGUCUAAAGUCAGGAUGGAGAAUAGAAUGUAGCCUUUCCUCAGUAAACGGCAAGAGCUACAUUGUUGAGAGAAGGAGGAUAGUGAGUGAGCUUCCAUGCCUUAUAAGCACAUAAUCAUAGUAGCAGCAAAAUUAGGCCUGGGACAAGUUCAUGCUCAAAGAGAGCAUCCUUUCAAGGCUGGGCCUGACUUCCUGGAUCUUGUCAUCUAAGCCUGUGGCCAUAGGUGCUCGGUGUGCACCUCGAAGAGACACACGGCUAGGAAUAAACAGCAAAUCGCUCUAUUACGAGUGUCAGAAUAGAGGGUAGGCGAUUGCCCAGAUUACCUGAACAACAAGACUUCAAAACGAAACAAAACUAAACAAAACAAAACGGAACCAAUCGAAACGAAACGAAACGAAACACAAGGUGCACAACAGAUGAUGAUCGGUCUCCCGCUAAAUACAAAGUGUCACCAGUCAAGCACAGAAAAAACACUUGCUAACCUAGGCUCCAUUGCCUUAAACUUUGUUCAUCAGUUAAGACAAGAGUUAAGUCCAUCUAGUGGAGAGAAAGAAGGAUGGGAAAAGUUUCUUAGGCGUGAAUGUCAAAACAAAAUUAUGUCAUCAAGGCUCCUGGUGUAGUUUCCUUUUGUGGGAUGAUUUUAAUCUGGUUUUGGAAGAAUAUGUUUCUGGGGUGAUGGCUUUUAGAGAAUAUGUGACCUGUGGCUACCAGGUAAUCUUCUUACACACAGAGAGUGCUGUCUUGGGUGGUAUAAAAAGGCUGAGAGAAACAAACAAACAAACAAACAAACAAAACAAACAAACAAACAAUGUUCUUGGCGCCAGCACGUUUCCAUCCACCAAAUGUGCACAUGUGGAGAUGUGGAUAUGGAGAUGGUUCAGCAACCCUCGCUCGGUCAAAGGGAGUGCUUCCCCUUCCCCAAUAAGUGAAACUUUAUUCCCUUAGAGAAAAGUGGCUUGGCCAUUCUACCAACUACCUGUAGCUGAUGUGACAAUGGUUCAAGGCAAGGCAGCCA
rnacentral:lncRNA from 1 species